GUUUGACGCAACAAGUAGCAAAAAAGAAGUUCCCGAUUUUGCUUCCCAAUUUACUGCAAGAGAUCAUUUGGACUCUAAACCUCUGAAAGGACUGAGAGUUGGUCUGAUCCGGGACACCAUUGAAGAUGGAGUUGACCCGGACGUAAUUUCUUCAAUCCGUGGUGCUGCAAGUCAUCUUGAAGAACUCGGAUGCACUGUCACCGAGGUCUCUUUGCCAUCCUUCUCUCUU
rnacentral:misc_RNA from 1 species